GCCUCGCAGCUUCAGUGCCUGGCUGCUUCUUGCCUGUGAAGCUGUUUAUUGUUGUUGUUGUUGUUGUUGUUGUUAUUGUUUUUAUUAUAAUUGAGGGGUAAAUUGAGGGAAAGAGGAGGAGAAACUGAAAGUAAUUGAGGGAGAAGUCUUCCUUCCUCCCUCUCCUCCUCCGGCGGCAGCGGCGGCCCCGGAGGAGGGUGGCUGGGGAGGAGCCCUGCCCGCCGGGCCCUCUCUUUGCUGCCUCCGCUGGCCAGGCCUCACCGGAGGGCAGCGGUGGGGAGCUCCGUGCAGGCCUCACUGCUCCCUCAUCCCCGGCGCCACCCCCAAUCCUGCUCCACCUCCUCCACAGCCGGGCCAUCACCGUGGAGAGAUCCAAGACUGGCACCUCCCUCCAGGCCCUCAAGAUGAGCCUGAAGCAGCUUGUCUGGAAGGAGCUUAAGGCUUUACCUUGAUACCACCCAUUUCACAACCAUUCCCAAUCAAAGAAGAAUGUCUGCAGGACUCAGCCAGUUGCUGUGCUGCCUUCUACGCUUUGGCUCUGUAUGACCUGGACUGGAUUUGUAUUGCGGACCUCUCCUUCUCUGACCUGGACUGGAUUUCGUAUUGCUGAUACGGAUUGGACUCGACGUCGACAUUGUGUUUGGGUGACUUCAACAGACUUCUUCGAGCCCCUGCUGGUCGUCAAUUCCUGCCCGCUGACAUCCUGCUGGGAAUUGGAGUGCCUUCUUUUUUGUUUUACAAAGUUUGUUUUUAAACUGGAUUAUACUCCGGUUUAAUCCGGGUUAUUUUCCAGGGUCUGAGGUUUUGUGUUUUCUGGAAAUUCUGUGUUUCACACUGAAGAUUAAGUGUUCUGGGCCUUUUGAGUUUGUUUCUGGGCUGUGAACUAAUAAACUUUUCUUUUACUAACGUCGGGUCUGGCGCUUUAAAGAAUCUGUGUUGCAACAGCCCUUCUCAGAUCUCUAUGUGGAGAGUGGAAUAUUAAAAUGUCCAACACAGACAUCAAAUAUGAAGAAAGUAAAACAUGAAAGCCACCGUCCUGCCUGAGACCCCAAUGAAUUUUAAAAAUUAGUUUUUGGAUAACUGGGGAAGCUGUAAUAGUUUCUAAAACAUGCUACCUUGAACACAAAUAUGAAAUGAGAUGACAUGAAUCAAAAUACAUAAAAAUAAACAGAAAUUCUAUACAAAUGCACACCUCUACUAAUAUGUCAUAUAUUUCUAACAUAAGCCCUGCCUUGGGGACCCUCAGUGAUUGAGAUGAUUUCGGAAAUUACUUCCGCCAGAGAGCUCCUGAUAGGGAUACUGCAUUUUGAAAUAGAAAU